rnacentral:tRNA from 1 species
GCGUGGCUGGCUCAGUGGUAGAGCAUGUGACUCUUGAUCUCAGGAUCAUGAAUUCAAACCCCACGUUGGGCG